rnacentral:sRNA from 1 species
UACAAGGUAUAAAAACGCUUUCAAAAUAAAGGAGUGGAAUAAAUGGGUGUAAUCAUUUGUCAAUCAUGUGGGAAAGUCAUCGAGCAUUUUGAAGCAGAGAAAGUAUCAACUUUAUAUGGAACUUGCUGUAAUGCUACAAAAAAGGAACAAGCUAAAAAAUAAAAAAAGAUAUACUAAUAAAGGUAGACGAUCCUGUCUACCUUUUUUUUC